CCAUGACAUUUGAAUGUGAUCUCCUUUAAAUGUAGCUUCAAGGUCUUCAAUUUUACCCGGUGGGAACACAUCAGCGGGGGUAACAGCAGGAGCUUCGGAUACAGUGAACGAACCUCCAGAGAACACCAAGUUGCAGAUGCUACUAUGAUGCCAUCCUGACUUCACUGGGCAGACACCUUCAUCAAUGAGUCCCGAAGUCUCAACUCUCCAGAUCCCUGCCCCACUAGGGAAAGAUAGAAACAGACUGGGGG